rnacentral:rRNA from 1 species
GUCGAACGCGUCUCCGUUAAUGAUUUUAGGUGCUUGCACUUGAAAGAUUUAACAUUGAGACGAGUGGCGAACUGGUGAGUAACACGUGGGUAACCUGCCCUUGAAGUAGGGGAUAACACUUGGAAACAGGUGCUAAUACCGUAUAACAACCAAAACCACCUGGUUUUGGUUUAAAAGACGGCUUCGGCUGUCACUUUAGGAUGGACCCGCGGCGUAUUAGCUUGUUGGUAAGGUAACGGCUUACCAAGGCGAUGAUACGUAGCCGACCUGAGAGGGUAAUCGGCCACAUUGGGACUGAGACACGGCCCAAACUCCUACGGGAGGCAGCAGUAGGGAAUCUUCCACAAUGGACGAAAGUCUGAUGGAGCAACGCCGCGUGAGUGAUGAAGGGUUUCGGCUCGUAAAACUCUGUUGUUGGAGAAGAACAGGUGUCAGAGUAACUGUUGACAUCUUGACGGUAUCCAACCAGAAAGCCACGGCUAACUACGUGCCAGCAGCCGCGGUAAUACGUAGGUGGCAAGCGUUGUCCGGAUUUAUUGGGCGUAAAGCGAGCGCAGGCGGUUUUUUAGGUCUGAUGUGAAAGCCUUCGGCUUAACCGGAGAAGUGCAUCGGAAACCGGGAGACUUGAGUGCAGAAGAGGACAGUGGAACUCCAUGUGUAGCGGUGAAAUGCGUAGAUAUAUGGAAGAACAC